rnacentral:rRNA from 1 species
AAGUAAAAGUCGUAACAAGGUUUCCGUAGGUGAACCUGCGGAAGGAUCAUUAUUGAAAUAAACCUGAUGGGUUGUUGCUGGUUCUCUAGGGAGCAUGUGCACGCCUUGUCAUCUUUAUAUCUCCACCUGUGCACCUUUUGUAGACCUUCCAGGUCUAUGUUGCUCCAUUUACCCCAAUGUAUGUUAAUAGAAUGUUGUGUUUAUAAAAUCUAUACAACUUUCAGCAACGGAUCUCUUGGCUCUCGCAUCGAUGAAGAACGCAGCGAAAUGCGAUAAGUAAUGUGAAUUGCAGAAUUCAGUGAAUCAUCGAAUCUUUGAACGCACCUUGCGCUCCUUGGUAUUCCGAGGAGCAUGCCUGUUUGAGUGUCAUUAAUAUAUAUAUCAACCUUCUCUUGUUGGAGUGGUUUGGAUGUGGGGGUUUGCUGGCCUCUUAAAAGGUUCAGCUCCCUUGAAAUGCAUUAGCAGAACGGACCUGUUCAUUGGUGUGAUAACUAUCUACGCUAUUGAAUGUGAGGGGAUGUUCAGCUUUCUAACUGUCCUUGGACAAUUUAUCAUUUUAUGUGACCUCAAAUCAGGUAGGACUACCCGCUGAACUUAAGCAUAUCAAUAAGCGGAGGAAAAGAAACUAACAAGGAUUCCCCUAGUAACUGCGAGUGAAGCGGGAAAAGCUCAAAUUUAAAAUCUGGCGGUCUUUUGGCUGUCCGAGUUGUAAUCUAGAGAAGUGUUAUCCGCGCUGG